CCACCACAGCCUGGGCAAGUCGCCGUGCCGAAGCGACUUGGGGUCGGGACACUCACGUUUGUACAGGCUCACUACGAAUCGCGUAGACUAUACAGCAAAUAUACACACUCGCCUGCCGUUUUUUUUUUUCUCCGCAUUAGCCGCGUUGCACGGAUGUUGAGCGUGAUCCUGGCCGUAGCCCGCUCUGCAUGCAUUGGUAUUGCAGUUGGCUGGUCGACGCCACAUGGUGUUGGCUGGCCGGGUUUCUUGACGGUUUCGCUAUGCGCAAGUCUGUAUUCCGCAAGAGGCGCAGUUCUCCCCAACAGGCCUGUAGGGCAUUUGGUGGUCUGGGUUUUCAGCACCGCGGUGCAGCAAGGGAGGAAAAGCAUGGCGGUGACGUCGAACAUCAUCGGUUAGCGACGGAACAUAUUCAAGCACGGCGCUCUUUCCCAUCAACACUCCCACCUCUAUCAAAGGCGUGCGGGCUCAGGAGAGGGUGGAGCGCCCCCGCCGCCACAGACUCAUGGCAGCGCCACACCUGUCACGGCUUGUGUAGGCACGCCAUCCAGACAUCCACGUUGCCCUGAAGCAAGUCCUAGGAUCUGAAAAUGCGAGCACUGUGCGCACGCGUCGUCGGCUAUAGCUGGCAUUGUGUGUCACCUCCACGUCUAGCAUGCAGAGGCCAGAAGAGCGAGAGUGAUGCGCAGAAAAGGCGCGAAGAGAUGCCAACCAAACUAACCCAAACCGCAUGCGUGCAGAGGCAUGGGGCGCCUCCUACGUGCAACCGAGUGGGCUGAUGAGCCACAGGGGCCGGAAGCAUUGCGAGAGCACCUCGGAUUACACCACCGAAUCCUCCAGGCUCCGGUGUGUAGCGCCACGGCACCAAAUUGUGGAGAGCCACGGCUUGAGGCGACUGAGGAGGAGGCAUGGCAUUCAGGCAGAGCUCUUGGCAACCCAGAGGGUUCUGACCUGCGACCGGUCAACUUGCUCCUCGGGCCCAUCCGGUGUGCACCUGGACUGUCCUCUGACAUCCGUAAGGUAAACGCGACCGCCUCUGCGCUAGAGCAGGACUCCGGAUGGGGCCCGCUUAGAUCAAGGCAUGCAGCCGACACCCAGGCCCGUCUGGCACGGAUUUUGAAGCAGGUGCGGCAAGAAGGGACGAGGAGGGACAGAAGGAGCUGGUUAUACGCAUGACCCGAUUCGGUGGUACAUGUCGUCUCCUAGAGGACCGGGAUGUAUCCGCAGCACAACGGCAGCGAGUGAGCUGUGGCUGCAAUGUAUAUGAUUGCUAGCUUGUUCUUGGGUGAAGGAGACGUUAG
rnacentral:misc_RNA from 1 species